rnacentral:snoRNA from 1 species
AACUAUGUUGACACUUUCUAACUAUUUCCUUAAACCUCUCCCAUGCUUCAAAAAUAGUUUCAGUCUCUUUCUGGCAGAAGUUGAUUUCUCUUAUAAACUU